CCUACGGGAGGCAGCAGUGGGGAAUAUUGGGCAAUGGGCGCAAGCCUGACCCAGCAACGCCGCGUGAAGGAAGAAGGCUUUCGGGUUGUAAACUUCUUUUCUGAGGGACGAAGAAAGUGACGGUACCUCAGGAAUAAGCCACGGCUAACUACGUGCCAGCAGCCGCGGUAAUACGUAGGUGGCAAGCGUUAUCCGGAUUUCUUGGGUGUAAAGGGCGUGUAGGCGGGAAAGCAAGUCAGAUGUGAAAAUUCAGGGACCAACCCUGAGCCUGCAUUUGAAACUGUUUUUCUUGAGUGCUAGAGAGGCAAGCGGAAUGCCGGGUGUAGCGGUGAAAUGCGUAGAUAUACGGAGGAACACCAGUGGCGAAGGCGGAUUGCUGGACAGUAACUGACGCUGAGGCGCGAAAGCGUGGGGAGCGAACAGGAUUAGAUACCCUAGUAGUC
rnacentral:rRNA from 1 species